GCAUGAGGAGGAGGAAAGGGUUUUCCCGACCCCGAUCUUUGUGGACAGUCCUCCUGCUGGGGACCACCAUUUCCCGGAUAGGCCUCCUAACGAGGAACUGUAUUUAAAGGGCGUAACAUUAGCAGGAGACCACCGGGGACAUCUAUGAUCGGCUGACAGUCUUGGUUAAACCACAUGUAUUCUAAAGCAAUAUUCACCUGCUUUCAUAGAGUAGAUGAACCUCCUUCUUAUUAACUCUUCCACUCCCAAAGACCCAGCUGAGCCAGCCUCCACUGUUAUUGUGAACAGCAGGGGUCUCAGGCUCAG